AGUCACAAAGCUUUUGAUUCCUUCAGCUGGUUCCGGAAGGAACAGGCCAGUCAACUCAUGGGACUUGAGAUCUCGUCCCAAGUCGUACGCGAGUCAUUCAUUAGGGAGUCUAGAACAAUGGGCGAAAGCAUGAUCCAGCAUGCGCGUGCAGGAUGAAGGCCUCGGGAUAGUAAACUGGUUUGUACGGAUCUGAAAUAGCCUGUUCUAGUAAAGAGGGCUAAUGACGGUACAGUAAGAAUAAGCACAGGCUAACUGCGUGCCAGCAGCCGCGGUAAUACGUAGGGUGCAAGCGUUAAUCGGAAUACUGGGGGUAAAGCGUGCGCAGGCGGUAAUGUAAGACAGUUGUGAAAUCCCCGGGCUCAACCUGGGAACUGCAUCUGUGACUGCAUUGCUGGAGUACGGCAGAGGGGGAUGGAAUUCCGCGUGUAGCAGUGAAAUGCGUAGAUAUCCGGAGGAACACCGAUGGCGAAGGCAAUCCCCUGGGCCUGUACUGACGCUCAUGCACGAAAGCGUGGGGAGCACACAGGAUUAGAUACCCUGGUAGUCCACGCCCUAAACGAUGUCAACUGGUUGUUGGGUCUUCACUGACUCAGUAACGAAGCUAACGCGUGAAGUUGACCGCCUGGGGAGUACGGCCGCAAGGUUGAAACUCAAAGGAAUUGACGGGGACCCGCACAAGCGGUGGAUGAUGUGGUUUAAUUCGAUGCAACGCGAAAAACCUUACCCACCUUUGACAUGUACGGAAUUCGCCAGAGAUGGCUUAGUGCUCGAAAGAGAACCGUAACACAGGUGCUGCAUGGCUGUCGUCAGCUCGUGUCGUGAGGUGUUGGGUUAAGUCCCGCAACGAGCGCAACCCUUGUCAUUAGUUGCUACAUUUAGUUGGGCACUCUAAUGGGACUGCCGGUGACAAACCGGAGGAAGGUGGGGAUGAGGUCAAGUCCUCAUGGCCCUUAUAGGUGGGGCUACACACGUCAUACAAUGGCUGGUACAAAGGGUUGCCAACCCGCGAGGGGGAGCUAAUCCCAUAAAACCAGUCGUAGUCCGGAUCGCAGUCUGCAACUCGACUGCGUGAAGUCGGAAUCGCUAGUAAUCGUGGAUCAGAAUGUCACGGUGAAUACGUUCCCGGGUCUUGUACACACCGCCCGUCACACCAUGGGAGCGGGUUCUGCCAGAAGUAGUUAGCUUAACCGCAAGGAGGGCGAUUACCACGGCAAGGUUUCGAACGG
rnacentral:rRNA from 1 species